ACGGGGUGCAGCAGGCGCGAAACCUCCUCAAUGCACUUACGUGCGAAGGGGGUACCUCGAGUGCCACCUGAUGAAGGUGGCUUUUCCUAGGUCUAAAAAGCCUUGGGAAUAAGAGGGGGGCAAGACUGGUGUCAGCCGCCGCGGUAACACCAGCCCCUCGAGUGGUGGGGAUGAUUAUUGGGCCUAAAGCGUCCGUAGCCUGCCGUAUAAGUUUCCCGUUAAAUCCAGCGUCUCAAGCGUUGGACUGCGGGAAAUACUGUACGGCUAGAGAGUGGGAGAGGUCAGCGGUAUUCUGGGGGUAGGGGCGAAAUCCUUUGAUCCCCGGAGGACCACCAGUGGCGAAGGCUGCUGACUAGAACACGUCUGACGGUCAGGGACGAAAGCUGGGGUAGCGAACCGGAUUAGAUACCCGGGUAGUCCCAGCCGUAAACGAUGCAUGCUAGGUGUUGGGUUGGCCACGAGCCACCCCAGUGCCGCAGGGAAGCCGUUAAGCAUGCCGCCUGGAAGUACGAUCGCAAGG
rnacentral:rRNA from 1 species